GACAGAGGUGCCAAGCGUUAGGCGGAAUCACUGGGCUUAAAGCGUGUGUAGGCGGAAUGGUAAGUACCUUGUGAAAUCCCACGGCUCAACCGCGGAACUGCUUGGUAUACUGCUUUUCUUGAGCCACUUAGGGGCAACCGGAACAAACGGUGGAGCGGUGAAAUGCGUAGAUAUCGUUUGGAACGCCAAUGGUGAAAACAGGUUGCUGGGAGUGUGCUGACGCUGAGACACGAAAGCCAGGGGAGCAAACGGG
rnacentral:rRNA from 1 species